rnacentral:tRNA from 1 species
GAGGUGUAGUGUAGUGGUAGCGCGUUGUGGUUGACAGACCCACAUCGUGGGUUCGAUCCCCUCAGCGCCUCU